AUUGAACGCUGGCGGCAGGCCUAACCCAUGCAAGUCGAGCGGAGCGGCGGACGGGUGAGUAAUGCCUAGGAAUCUGCCUGGUACUGGUGGAUACCGUCCGGAAACGGGCGCUAAUACCGCAUACUAUCAGAUGAGCCUAGGUCGGCUUAGCUAGUUGGUGGGGUAAAGGUUUACCAAGGCGACGAUCCUUAACCGGUCUGAGAGGAUGAACAGUCCAACUGGAACUGAGACACGGUCCAGACUCCGACGGGAGGCAGCAGUGGGGAAUAUUGGACAAUGGGCGAAAGCCUGAUCCAGCCAUGCCGCGUGUGUGAAGAAGGUCUUCGGAUUGUAAAGCACUUUAAGUUGGGAGGCGUUACCAACAGAAUAAGCACCGGCUAACUUCGUGCCAACAGCCGCGGUAAAAC
rnacentral:rRNA from 1 species